GGAGUUAGCCGGUGCUUCUUCUGUGAGUGAUGUCCUUCCUGCCGGCUAUUAACCCGCAGGCCUUCUUCCUCACUGAAAGUGCUUUACAACCCGAAGGCCUUCUUCACACACGCGGUAUGGCUGGAUCAGGGUUGCCCCCAUUGUCCAAUAUUCCCCACUGCUGCCUCCCGUAGGAGUCUGGGCCGUGUCUCAGUCCCAGUGUGGCUGAUCAUCCUCUCAGACCAGCUACGGAUCGUCGCCUUGGUGAGCCGUUACCUCACCAACCAGCUAAUCCGACAUAGGCUCAUCCGAUAGCGCGAGGCCCGAAGGUCCCCCGCUUUCCCCCGUAGGGCGUAUGCGGUAUUAGCCUGGGUUUCCCCAGGUUAUCCCCCACUACCGGGCAGAUUCCUAUGCAUUACUCACCCGUCCGCCGCUCGCCACCAGGGAGCAAGCUCCCCGUGCUGCCGCUCGACUUGCAUGUGUUAGGCCUGCCGCCAGCGUUCAAUCUGAGCCAGGAUCAAACUCUGA
rnacentral:rRNA from 1 species